rnacentral:rRNA from 1 species
AAAUUGAAGAGUUUGAUCAUGGCUCAGAUUGAACGUUGGCGGCAGGCCUUAUACAUGCAAGUCGAACGGUAACAGCAGAGCUUGCUCUGGCUGACGAGUGGCGGACGGGNGAGUAACGCGUAGGAAUCUACCCAGUAGCGGGGGAUAGCCCGGGGAAACCCGGAAUAAUACCGCAUACGCCCUACGGGGGAAAGGGGGCCUCUUCUUGAAAGCUCUCACUAUUGGAGGAGCCUGCGUUGGAUUAGCUAGUUGGUGAGGUAAUGGCUCACCAAGGCUACGAUCCAUAGCUGGUCUGAGAGGACGAUCAGCCACACUGGAACUGAGACACGGUCCAGACUUCUACGGAAGGCAGCAGUCGGGAAUAUUGUCCAAUGGGGGAAACCCUGAGACAGCCAUGCCGCGUGUGUGAAGAAGGCCUUAGGGUUGUAAAGCACUUUCAGUAGGGAGGAAUUAGCGCGAUUAAUACUCGCGUCAAGUGACGUUACCUACACAAGAAGAUCCGGCUAACUCCGUGCCAGCAGCCGCGGUAAUACGGAGGGAUCGAACGUUAAUCGGAAUUACUGGGCGUAAAGCGCGCGUAGGCGGUCUGUUAAGUGGGAUGUGAAAGCCCCGGGCUUAACCUGGGAAUUGCAUUCCAAACUAAUAGACUAGAGUACGAUAGAGGGGGGUAGAAUUCAGAGUGUAGCGGUGAAAUGCGUAGAUAUUCUGAGGAAUACCGGUGGCGAAGGCGGCCCCCUGGAUUGAUACUGACGCUGAGGUGCGAAAGCGUGGGGAGCAAACAGGAUUAGAUACCCUGGUAGUCCACGCCCUAAACGAUGAUAACUAGCCGUUGGUCCCUCGGGACUAGUGGCGAAGCUAACGCGCUA